UCCCGUUUAGCUCAGUUGGUAGAGCGCGUCACUAGUACUUCCGGAAUUCCCUAUGACGAGGUCAGUCGUUCGAGUCGGCUAAUGGGAA